CCUACGGGAGGCUGCAGUGGGGAAUAUUGGACAAUGGGCGAAAGCCUGAUCCAGCCAUGCCGCGUGUGUGAAGAAGGCCUUCGGGUUGUAAAGCACUUUCAGUGGGGAAGAAAGCCUUGGGGCUAAUACCCUCGAGGAAGGACAUCACCCACAGAAGAAGCACCGGCUAACUCCGUGCCAGCAGCCGCGGUAAUACGGAGGGGUGCGAGCGUUAAUCGGAAUUACUGGGCGUAAAGCGCGCGUAGGCGGUCUGAUAAGCCGGUUGUGAAAGCCCCGGGCUCAACCUGGGAACGGCAUCCGGAACUGUCAGGCUAGAGUGCAGGAGAGGAAGGUAGAAUUCCCGGUGUAGCGGUGAAAUGCGUAGAGAUCGGGAGGAAUACCAGUGGCGAAGGCGGCCUUCUGGACUGACACUGACGCUGAGGUGCGAAAGCGUGGGUAGCAAACAGGAUUAGAUACCCCUGUAGUC
rnacentral:rRNA from 1 species